rnacentral:lncRNA from 1 species
GGCAAAGGGGAAAAGAGGGCUUUCUUACCGGUUGGACGAAACGGAGAUUCAAUCGGUGGGAAAUGCUCCUCUUGCAGUCCUAAAAGCUUGGGUAGCUUCAAUUUGAAAUUCAAACGGUUAGAAUUUGAGUAGUGGUGCUUGAAAGGUAAGGCAAUGGAGGAAAAGUAGAAGAAGAAGAUGGUGGCUGUUUUAGAAAAUGACUAAGUU